GACGAACGCUGGCGGCGUGCUUAACACAUGCAAGUCGAACGGAAAGGCCCUGCUUUUGUGGGGUGCUCGAGUGGCGAACGGGUGAGUAACACGUGAGUAACCUGCCCUUGACUUUGGGAUAACUUCAGGAAACUGGGGCUAAUACCGGGUAGGAGCUCCUGCUGCAUGGUGGGGGUUGGAAAGUUUCGGCGGUUGUGGAUGGAUUCGCGGCUUAUCAGCUUGAUGGUGGGGUAGUGGCUUACCAAGGCUUUGACGGGUAGCCGGCCUGAGAGGGUGACCGGCCACCUUGGGACUGCGAUACGGCCCAGACUCCUACGGGCGGCAGCAGUGGGGAAUCUUGCGCAAUGGGCGGAAGCCUGAUGCAGCAACGCCGCGUGCGGGAUGCCGGCCUUCGGGUUGUAAACCGCUUUCGCCUGUGACGAAGCGUGAGUGACGGUAAUGGGUAAAGAAGCACCGGCUAACUACGUG
rnacentral:rRNA from 1 species